UUUUCCUCCGCAAUUGAUACUG
rnacentral:miRNA from 1 species